CCUACGGGUGGCAGCAGUGGGGAAUAUUGCACAAUGGGGGAAACCCUGACGCAGCGACGCCGCGUGAGUGAAGAAGUCUUUCGGUUUGUAAAGCUCUAUCAGCAGGGAAGAAAUAGCGUCCUUUGGGUGGCCAGACGGUACCUGUUUAAGACGCCCCGGCUAACUACGUGCCAGCAGCCGCGGUAAUACGUAGGGGGCAAGCGUUAUCCGGAUUUACUGGGUGUAAAGGGAGCGUAGACGGCAGCGCAAGUCUGAAGUGAAAUGCCGGGGCUUAACCCCGGAACUGCAUUGGAAACUGUGUAGCUAGAGUGCAGGAGAGGUAAGUGGAAUUCCUAGUGUAGCGGUGAAAUGCGUAGAUAUGAGGAGGAACACCAGUGGCGAAGGCGGCUUACUGGACUGUAACUGACGUUGAGGCUCGAAAGCGUGGGGAGCAAACAGGAUUAGAUACCCGGGUAGUC
rnacentral:rRNA from 1 species